GGCGAACGCUGGCGGCGUGCUUAACACAUGCAAGUCGUACGGUAAGGCCCUUUCGGGGGUACACGAGCGGCGAACGGGUGAGUAACACGUGAGUAACCUGCCCACAACUUUGGGAUAACGCUAGGAAACUGGUGCUAAUACUGGAUAUGUGCUCCUGCUGCAUGGUGGGGGUUGGAAAGCUCCGGCGGUUGUGGAUGGACUCGCGGCCUAUCAGCUUGGUGGUGGGGUAGUGGCCUACCAAGGCGGCGGCGGGUAGCCGGCCUGAGAGGGUGACCGGCCACAUUGGGACUGAGAUACGGCCCCGGCUCCGACGGGGGGCAGCAGUGGGGAAUAUUGCACAAUGGGCGCAAGCCUGAUGCAGCAACGCCGCGUGCGGGAUGACGGCCUUCGGGUUGUAAACCGCUUUCAGCAGGGACGAAGCUUUUUGUGACGGUACCUGCAGAAGAAGCACCGGCUAACUACGUG
rnacentral:rRNA from 1 species